AGAUGUCACAGACUUCAUUUCAGUCCGGUGAUCGAAAGCCCUCCUCAACUGCCAUGCCAACCCACAUUUUCACAGCCACCAAAUAUUAUCCCCACCGCGGCGCAUCGGUGCAGCGACGCGGCCAUGCUGUGCGAGAGCACCGCUCCGCGCGCGCCCCGCGGACUGCACGUGAGCGGUGAUUAAUUAUUGUCAGGGAGCAUCUUCUUCUUCUUCCUCUUCUUCCUCUUCUCCUUCCCCUUCAUUAUAGAGGAGACGGAACACAGGUUUUUUGAUGACAUCUGGUCGGUUUGGCUGAUUUACCCAAAUUAGUAUUAUUUUAUCAUCUCUUGCGUGUGAUAACAAGACGUGUAUACAUUUCCAAUAUUCCAAUCCCUUUAUUUUAGUGUGAAAAUGCCCACUGCGAAUAUGAUUCGUUUCAAAGACACUUUAUGAAGAUUUAUGUCACUUUUUUUAAAGCACUGG
ensembl:lncRNA